rnacentral:rRNA from 1 species
CUCCUAAAAGGUAACGGAGGCGCUCAAAGGUUCCCUCAGAAUGGUUGGAAAUCAUUCAUAGAGUGUAAAGGCAUAAGGGAGCUUGACUGCGAGACCUACAAGUCGAGCAGGGUCGAAAGACGGACUUAGUGAUCCGGUGGUUCCGCAUGGAAGGGCCAUCGCUCAACGGAUAAAAGCUACCCCGGGGAUAACAGGCUUAUCUCCCCCAAGAGUUCACAUCGACGGGGAGGUUUGGCACCUCGAUGUCGGCUCAUCGCAUCCUGGGGCUGUAGUCGGUCCCAAGGGUUGGGCUGUUCGCCCAUUAAAGCGGUACGCGAGCUGGGUUCAGAACGUCGUGAGACAGUUCGGUCCCUAUCCG